CAGAAAGGUUACACCAAUUUACCUCCCCAGCAGCAGCGUAUGUGGCUUCCCAAGUCUCCACAUGCUUGGUAACACAGGUAGAUGUGUCACCGCUCGGCUCUCAUGCGAAGCCCUCACACAUAAGGACAGACGCUAGGAUGUGCUCAUGGGUCUACGCACAUGCCACGCAUUAUAGCUGAGGGAGGAAGGCCCAGCAGCACCUUCCUUGGCAUUCGCUACCUGUCCCUGAGGUGAUGAGGAGCUGGAGAGAAGGCGACAUGUGUGCCAGAGUGAAGAUGCUCCAAAGCAGGCUGGAUCCACAUCUAGCUCUGCUUGGGGACAUCAGGCUUCCCAGCGGUCAGGUUCCCCCAGUGUGCCCACUCCUUCACACACUCAGCCCCUUUGCCUUCUCUCCCCCAACAAAGUUCACCAAGUCCAGUUCUUCCUGGGUCCUGCCAGGUGGAAAGGGGAGAAUCCAGGGGAGUCUCUUCAUCUGUGAAACGAGAAGAUCAAUACCUGACCCACCUAGUUCUCAAAAUUUUUUUGAAGGUCACAGGUGAUGAUGGGAGUGAUAGAAUUUUUAAACUGCAAUCCAAAUAGAAAAUUCUGAUCGAAUGUAAGUUCCAUGAAGAUGGGAAAUAUACGUGUGGUGAUUUAUCUUCACAAACUGGAAGUGAGAGCUCAGGGUAAGAGAGGAGGCAGAAAAGGCACUGAAAAUAAAAAGUCACGCAUGCUAAAAAUAUCUAAUAUAAGGUCAAUGGAUAAAGAGAGAAACUUCCCGACAAGUUCUUACAGCCCAUAAGUAUUCAAUUUUUAAUCUUUAAACAACUUGAAAUUCUUCCUCUUUUUUGUUUUUUUGCAUUUAAUUGAACCGUACAUCAACAAAUAUUUAUUGAGGGCUCACUAUGUACUGGACACGGGGGUUAGAAAAGUUAAGAAGUGGUAAGGUAGUCCUCCCUUAUGGAGCUUAGAUCCCUGAGCAAGAUGAGCCAUAGGGACCAACGUCUCUCGUAUGGCAGGUCCAGCCCAGCCCCUUCUCCCGGAGGUGCUGGGACCGUGGAGCAUCAGUGGUGCUCUUGGACUUGGGAGCCGGCUUCUAUGAAGACAUACAUCUCUGACACGCAAGCCGUCCUCUGCAUCUCAAGAAGCUGUUGCCGUGGGAAGUAGAAGACGAAGGGAAUAACAGAGGCACUCUCUGAAUGCACGGACCUUUCAUCUCCUCGAUGACACAAGCAGCUUGGUACUACUGUUUGCACCUUCCACUUUGCAGCUGAGGAAACUGAGGCACACACGGGUUGAGGCACACACUUUCCAAUGCUGCAGAACUGGUAAGGCAUGGA